UACAGAGGGUGCUAGCGUUAAUCGGAAUUACUGGGCGUAAAGGGCGCGUAGGCGGUUUAAUAAGUUGGUUGUGAAAUCCCUGGGCUUAACCUAGGAAUGGCAAACAAGACUGUUAAGCUGGAGUGCGGUAGAGGGUAGUGGAAUUUCCGGUGUAGCGGCGAAAUGCGUAGAUAUCGGAAGGAACACCAGUGGCGAAGGCGGCUACCUGGACUGACACUGACGCUGAGGCGCGAGAGCGUGGGGAGCAAACAGG
rnacentral:rRNA from 1 species